UAAUGGAGGGGGGACAGAUUCUCACUGAUGCCCCAGUGGAUGCAGCAGCAGAGGGAGUGCAGUGAGCACGUCAAUCCUCUGGUCUCUCCACUGCCAAGGAGGAGGCAGAACAGGUUUUGACUUGCUGUCGACUCUAUGCCAUCUGAGCUCUGGAGGUGGAGACCACAGGACCUCAGACCUGCUGUGCACAGGAACAUCACGAUGCUGACAGCAAAAGAUGCUCCAGCAUCAAAGCUCCCUGGGCAGGUCCUCGUGUUCACCGAGAGGGGCUGUUGCACUAAUCAGGACUGUUUGAGGACUCGAGGACUGAAUGUGUGCUGCUGAGAUUUUCUUGAACACAUUCCCACCUGGAUGGCUGUGGGUUUAGGACACGUGCCAUGUCAGGUUGUGCAUCUACAGGUGACUCUAAAUGCUGCUGGGAGUUUCUGCAAGCAGAAUAUAAAAUAUUCAGAUCCAAAUGUUGUUUUAGUCUGCAUAUUUCUCCCCUAAUCUCUGGAUUUGUUUUGCUUUCCGUGAGAAGAGUCUCACUGAAAUGAAUGGGAUUGCCUUGCAGUAGUGUUUAUUACAGCCUUCUGCUAUGUGUAGGCUGUCUCCAGAGUAUUAAACUCUGAGCAUGUAAACUCUGAGUGCUGUGUGGCUGCACUGCAUAUCACAGCUCUCUUCUGUUCUGUAGCUGGGCCCUGCAGAAAGGGAGGUACGGCUGGAAAGCCCUCAAUUUUAAUGCACAUUUUUCUCCUUUGGUACAGACCAGACUGGUUUUCUAGCAUGCUUGAGUUAUGCAUCAUCCACAGCAAGUCACAAAAUGACACUAAGCUUCUUCUGAGCAGAAAUGAGAUUAUAGACUUUUUAAUACCUUUUGUUGUUGUGGGGGGUGGGAAGUAACUCUUUUAUGCACAUAUUCCAAUCUUUCUUCAAACACAUCUGCUGAACACUGAAGUUUUGAAAAGAAAAAUUGGACUAAUUUACCUCUUGGGAUUCUUUCUUUCCAGUGAAUGAGACAAUUUUCUGUUGGGUCAAAUAAGAGUAACAUGGGCAUGCUGGUGACAUGACUAGGUCGGGUUCAUGGUAUUGGACCUCGAUGAGAGCAGGCAACUGGUGGGUCCUUUGUUCAAGCAGUGCCAGGUAUCUGUGUCCCCCAGAUGGAGAAUUAAGGAUCAGGCCAUUGAGUUCUGUGCAGCACAUGAAGCUGAGGAGGAAGAAAUGGGCCAUAAUUCAACACUGCGAAUGCAAAUCUACCUUGGCAAGAUUCAGUUAUCCAAGUCUCACACUUGGUGCAAGAAACUGGAAAUGUAUGGAGCUUGUGGCAGCUUUUGAAGGGUUGCAAUUUGUUCUUUCUCCCCCUCUGUGGGCUGAGAUACCCAAGCAGACUAUGUACCAUGAGCACUGGACUCCAUGAUGUAUUGUUUCCUUUUGCCAGUGGGAACCACCAGUGAGAACCACCAGCAAAUCCUGCUCAGUAGAGAACGGACAAAAAUCUCAAAACCAGGAGCCUUUGCCAAAAUCUCAUCAGAUCCCCUAGAAAUCUUUGACUAAAACCACAAUUUAUAUUUUAUUUGAAAAAAAAUCAAGGCAGAGAACAUAAAAUAAAAACAACCAUACAAUUGCUCCAGCCAGGGUAUUUAAGCAUACUUUACUUUUGAGAUAGUCUAAGUGUUUUAGGACAUGAGAUACAAUUCAGUUCUGGGAAACUGCCCAUGAGAACCUCAGUUCUUACAAGCCAAAUAACUCAUAGGGCUGAUGCUCAGCAUGAAAAGUACCAGGAUAUGCUUGAGAUGUACCUAAUCUCUUGAGGAAAUUACUAGUACCUCUAGAAAAAAAAAAAAAAGGGAAUCAUAAAGCUGUGCAUGAUUUUUUUCCCAAGCCAUAUCUAGUACUAUUUUCUCUGUUACAGCUCCUGCUGCAACAUUUAAGAUCAUCUUAAAAAUGAGGACACAUUUUAUUACAGGGUUAUUGUACAUCUUGAUUUGACUGGGGACUUUCCCAGGAGCUGGAGGACAUUCCCACCAUCCUGAAAAUAACAUUUGGAGUGUUUGGUUUUCAUCAGGACAUGGGGUUUCUCCUGUAUCUGCUGAGCCACCCUUGGGAACCAGCCCAUGCUGAGGGACGGGGGAGUGCCAGAGCUCAGCACUGAUGUUGGCUCCAGUUCUAGGGCACGUCAUCUGCCUCGUGUCCUGGCAUCUGGUGUAGAUGUCAUGGUCCCUGUAUGUCCACUUUGUAAAUGCUUAUUGUAAUUGGUUAUAUAACCACACAGAGAGAUUAAACCAU